rnacentral:rRNA from 1 species
AGCGAACGCUGGCGGCAGGCUUAACACAUGCAAGUCGAGCGGGCCCUUCGGGGUCAGCGGCAGACGGGUGAGUAACACGUGGGAACGUACCCUUUGGUUCGGAAUAACGCUGGGAAACUAGCGCUAAUACCGGAUACGCCCUUUUGGGGAAAGGCUUGCUGCCGAAGGAUCGGCCCGCGUCUGAUUAGCUAGUUGGUGGGGUAAUGGCCUACCAAGGCGACGAUCAGUAGCUGGUCUGAGAGGAUGAUCAGCCACACUGAGACUGAGACUCGGCCCAGACUCCUACGGGAGGCAGCAGUGGGGAAUAUUGGACAAUGGGCGCAAGCCUGAUCCAGCCAUGCCGCGUGAGUGAUGAAGGCCUUAGGGUUGUAAAGCUCUUUUGUCCGGGACGAUAAUGACGGUACCGGAAGAAUAAGCCCCGGCUAACUUCGUG